rnacentral:rRNA from 1 species
CCUACGGGAGGCAGCAGUGGGGAAUAUUGGACAAUGGGGGCAACCCUGAUCCAGCCAUGCCGCGUGUGUGAAGAAGGCCCUCGGGUUGUAAAGCACUUUCAGGGAGGAAGAACGCCUGGUGGUUAAUACCCAUCAGGAAAGACAUCACUCACAGAAGAAGCACCGGCUAACUCCGUGCCAGCAGCCGCGGUAAUACGGAGGGUGCGAGCGUUAAUCGGAAUUACUGGGCGUAAAGCGCGCGUAGGUGGCUUGAUAAGCCGGUUGUGAAAGCCCCGGGCUCAACCUGGGAACGGCAUCCGGAACUGUCAAGCUAGAGUGCAGGAGAGGAAGGUAGAAUUCCCGGUGUAGCGGUGAAAUGCGUAGAGAUCGGGAGGAAUACCAGUGGCGAAGGCGGCCUUCUGGACUGACACUGACACUGAGGUGCGAAAGCGUGGGUAGCAAACAGGAUUAGAUACCCUGGUAGUC